rnacentral:rRNA from 1 species
CGCGUAGGUGGUAGUGCAAGUCUGGGGUGGAAUCCCAGGGCUUAACCCUGGAACUGCCUUGGAAACUGUAUUACUUGAGUCAGUGAGGGGAGGGUAGAAUUCCUGGUGUAGCGGUGAAAUGCGUAGAUAUCGGGAGGAAGGCCUGUGGCGAAGGCGGCCCUCUGGCGCUGAACUGACACUGAGGCGCGAAAGCGUGGGGAGCAAACAGGAUUAGAUACCCUGGUAGUCCACGCCCUAAACGGUGGGUACUAGGUGUAGGGCUCGUAAGGGUUCUGUGCCGAAGCGAAAGCAUUAAGUACCCCGCCUGGGGAUACGGCCGCAAGGUUGAA